GACAACAGGAGAUGGACAAAUAGUAUUGUUAUGUUGAGAAAAGAUUAGUUGAAGUGGAAUGUAAAGAGAUAUGGUUGAGGCAACGAGUGGCAGGAUUGGGCGCAGAGGUGCGGAACUGGGAGCACAGGCGGGAGGCUUUUGGGGGUUAUGGGGAAGACGGGGCUCAGUGCUGGGCAGUGCCUAACCCUACCACCCCCAGACAGGGGUGACAGUGGCCCCCUGACCCCCAUGAGGCUGCGGGAGUCCCCAACCGUGCCUGCUGGGAGUGCUGGCAGGAGGGGGACGAGCUGUUGGGAAACUGGGGCAGGACAGAGACUGGCUCUGGUAUACGGUAUAUGAUAAAGGGAGUGAAUAUGAGGAGGAGUGUUGUAACCCACUACCCAAGAUGUAUUAAGAAUGGUAUGUCCCUUAAUUCCUGUGACCCCUGUAAAUCUAUGGACUAUCCCUGUAUGCCCCUCUGCUACCCUUUUGGCAGGAAGCUACGUUUCCUCUCCCCCUCUUUUCCUGACCCUACAAAAGAAGAAAUAAACCAAGGAAACCCCUGUGAGAAAGAGCCUCUUUGUAUCUUUUAUCCUGUUCAUGCUAUUAAUCCCAGGCUUGCCUUGCUACAGAAUUGCCAAGCCUUGGAUGUGGUAGCAAUUGGAGGUCCAACGUGGGGCUUUUUCAUUAGAGAGCCCUCAAGAGUGACUGGAGUCCUAUUACAAGGAUUCACUAAGUCCACGGACGGGUCAAUUACCCUGAAGGCAAAAAAACCUGCUUUUACAUUAGUUUCAGAUUGCAGGGAGGAAAUCGGGAACUCGUUCAGCCCAAGGCGAGCGAUUUCUGAACGGGGACCGAAAUUCAUAGUUUUCACAGCCCCAGGCACUCGCUGGAGAACGGAAACUUUAACUUCAAACAGAAAACAACAGACAACAACAGCAAAACACAUCGGAUCUCUUUUCCCUUUCUUUAAAAUCUACUAACCUGGGGCUGGAGGGGACUCAGGGGUCACUCAGGGAUCCCCAGGGCACCCUGCAUGGCCGCAGUUCCUCUGGGUCCCAGAGUCCUCCCUAGUAUCCAGGAUCUGAGGAUUUUUCAAAAAUGGUGAGCAGUUCUUCCUUGUAUCCUACUCUCCCUAUUGUAUUCACUUCAGAGCAGAGUUCAGACUCCCCUUCCACUCAGGGCACUGGCCACGUGGCUUAUCCUGAGGGGCCCGGGGGCAAGAUCCAAAAUAGCCCCGACCACAUGGCUUGUCCUUGGGGGUCUGCAGAUAAUAGCAGUCACAUGUUAUCUCCUCUAUUCCAAAAUCACUUUUUCCCUCUGGUCCCAGGCAACAAACUAUUUCUGCCCUCAGCCGCCCUGCCCCCACCCUGCAACCCUGUCCCUAUGUGCUGUCCUGGGGUGACGUUAUGGUGGCUUGUAUCCCCAAUCGUGUGUCCUGUUUAAGCAAAAGUUUGUUUAGUCUACUUAUCAGUUGGCUCCCCUCCCCCCAUGUCUGUGCUUGGGGGCUUGCUGCUGCUGCCGCUGCUGCUGCCAGCCUCUUCCGCUUGCUUUGCUUGCUUUUGCUAGCUUUAGUUUGUUUUUGCUUAUUAGUUAGGCAGUCCAAUCUCUUUCUGUGGACUGUUCUUUGUUCUUUUCCCCUUUUCCCUUCUGUAUACUCUUUGAACCUGUUUGGACCGGACUUGGAUCACCGAGGGACACCGGGACCCUGCAAAGCUGAGACCUGCAGCAAUCAUCCCAGCCCAGAGACUGACACUACCCACAGGAGAGAUUUUCCUGAGUUUGUCACCCUCCUACACUGGUGAAAAAGUUUUUUUUUUGUCAUCCGGGGUUGUUAAUUUUCCUCUCUUGUGUUGGGAGUGUUUUGUUUAAUUAAUAAACAGGUUUUUUCCACAUUUAUUCCUCUGAGGAAAUUCUUCCCGAACCCGGUGGUGGGGGAGGAGUCUUGGGGGGUUGGUUUGUUUGGUUUUUUUUUAAAUUUGCCCUAAACUAGGACAAAUUUUUGGCGCCCAAUUGUAGGGCGAAAGAAAGUG
ensembl:lncRNA